rnacentral:snRNA from 1 species
AUAUGUGAGGGUGAUCUGGCUGCAGUCUCUGCCACCCAUUGAUUGCCAAGGGUGAUUCUGCUGAUGUGCCUGGCUGGGUAGGUGUCCCCUUUCUCCCUCACCACUCCAUGUGCAUUCCUCCUGAAGCCACAUGCUUGAUUGAAGAGGAUGACCUUCCUUCAGUAGAUGAGGACCCAUCUUUGGUCAAGGGUGUAUGAGUAGCUGGGCUUUCCUGCUACAAAAUCACCAAACAAAUUCUCAAAGAAAAGAAUAGGCCUCUCAGGGAUAUCAACCAAAUAUUGCAAAAACAAGAUCCAAUAACAACUAGGCACAUACACU